AGAGCUAGAGCCAAGCAUUAUUUUGAAUUUCCGAUCAUCGGAGAUCGAUUAUUACGAUGACGACGACGACGAGGAACGACGACGUUUGGGCGGGGAAGCUGAAGAGGGUAGUUUCGGGAGGGGAGAUAGUGGAUACGGAUCAGGAGAGCGUGGGGUCCAUGGAGGAGAUAGAGUCGCCUCGCUCGGUGACGGCGAAGGGCCGGAAGUGGAACGUCGACGACAGCUACGAAAAGAACAACAUCGACGUAGUCUACGUUCACAGCCAGAUUCUGAGGAUCAGAGCCGAGGAUUCCCACAUCGGAGAGGACACUGCCGAGAUUUUCAGCCUUAAAGACAAGGUUGUCUCCGCCGUCGUCCUCAUCCGCCCCAUCUUACCCGCCUCCCCUCUCGGCGUCCACACCACAAUCACAACCUAACUGCUUCCUCAAUUCUUCAAGGUGCAAUUAAGGAGAUUAUUACAGUGACGGCGACGACGACGGCAUGCAUGCAUGGCGGCUGGCCGGGUUCUGAGGCUCAUAAAAAUGAACGUACGUACGUUUUGACGUAGAGAUCGAGUUGUUCCGGUAUAAAUUAAAAGAUCUAUGCGGGUCUGAUGUACAGUACGAGGUUGUAAAUAUAGUGAAAAAAAAGCAUCCAUAGUUGUUAAAGAUAGCUAGAUGUCUGUGUCGGUGGAUAUCUAAAUCUUGAGUUCUGAUUUUCCGACGAAAAGUGACCGGAAAUAAUAAAGUCGUUCGGCUUAAAUACCUUAUGUACACUCUGAACUGGACUUAAGUACUUAACUGAUGAUCCACUAAAGAAACACAGCAUUAUACUCCAAUGAUUUAAUUUGGAUAAGAAAUAUAAAUAAAUUGAAAGCACUAAAAGGGGUGAUUGAGAGGAGAAA